AGAGCGAACGCUGGCGGCAGGCCUAAUACAUGCAAGUCGAACGGAUCCUUCGGGAUUAGUGGCGGACGGGUGAGUAACACGUGGGAACGUACCCUUUGGUUCGGAACAACUCAGGGAAACUUGAGCUAAUACCGAAUGUGCCCUUCGGGGAAAAGAUUUAUCGCCAUUGGAGCGGCCCGCGUCUGAUUAGCUAGUUGGUAGGGUAAAGGCCUACCAAGGCUACGAUCAGUAGCUGGUCUGAGAGGAUGAUCAGCCACACUGGGACUGAGACACGGCCCAGACUCCUACGGGAGGCAGCAGUAGGGAAUCUUGCGCAAUGGGCGAAAGCCUGACGCAGCCAUGCCGCGUGAAUGAUGAAGGUCUUAGGAUUGUAAAAUUCUUUCAGCGGGACGAUAAUGACGGUACCCGCAGAAGAAGCCCGGCUAACUUCGUGCCAGCAGCCGC
rnacentral:rRNA from 1 species